rnacentral:lncRNA from 1 species
GCGCGCGCCAGCCGGCCCCCGGCCCUGCGGUGCCGCCGGGAGGGUCCUCGCAACACAUGGCUGAUGUGGGACUGAGACCUGCCAGCUCAUUUCAUACGUGGGGCAGGGAAGGGCCAGCGCAGGGUACGGCCUUCCAGGCACGGCUCGCCUUGAGCCUGCUGCCCCGGGUGACAGGGAGGUCAAAGGCUCUGUCAUCACGGUGAGGCAGGCCACCCGGGGACAUCGGUGGUUCAGGUUAGGGAUCUGGGGGGGAAAGAGGUACCCCAGGGCUGGAUAAUGGCGAGAAGAUGGCCCUGUCCGUCUUGCGCGCCUAGGGCUCUCACUUUGUCUGCGUGCCUUCUCCCUACAGGUCCUAUAGCAAACAGAGGUCCGCAAUCGAGAGGGAGUAUGGGCAGGUGGCUCCAGGGAGCCCUCGGCCCGGAGAGCGCAACUAAGUCCCUGCUCAGCCCCGCGCACUGCAGAGACUGGCAAGCCAGUUCCAGAAGAGAGACUGGCAGCGGGCCCGCAGUGAAGCCAACGACUCGAGGUGGGCUGCAGGCGAGGUGGCUGGGGCAGGGUGGCGAGGGGCUGGGGGUAGCUGUGGCCCAGAGGUCGAAGGUGGCCAGGUACGUGGCCUCCCAGCCAGGAGCAUGGCUGGCAGGACAGGGGCUAAUUCAGACCAGGAGUCAAGUGCCUGGCAGUGCCUGAGAGGCUCUCCCUCCAGAGAUGCAGCCCUGGUGAGGCCAUCUCUAAGGAUGUGGUACCCAACUCGGAAGAGACUGCAGGGGUGGGGUGGCUAGUGAUGUCCUGAGCCGAGAGCUGG